rnacentral:tRNA from 1 species
GCGGGCGUGGUGGAAUUGGUAGACACAGCGGUCUCAAAAGCCGUGUCCUUAACAGGAAUGGGAGUUCGAUCCUCCCUGCCCGCACCA